rnacentral:rRNA from 1 species
UACGGGGGGGGCAAGCGUUGUUCGGAAUUACUGGGCGUAAAGGGCUCGUAGGCGGUUUGUCGCGUCGGCUGUGAAAACCUACAGCUUAACUGUGGGCUUGCAGUCGAUACGGGCAGACUUGAGUUCGGUAGGGGAGACUGGAAUUCCUGGUGUAGCGGUGAAAUGCGCAGAUAUCAGGAGGAACACCGGUGGCGAAGGCGGGUCUCUGGGCCGAUACUGACGCUGAGGAGCGAAAGCGUGGGGAGCGAACAGG